CCCUCUCUGUCUCUCUGUAGAUAGCCCAGCUAGAUGAGGUAUAGACCCUCUCUGUCUCUCUGUAGAUAGCCCAGCUAGAUGAGGUAUUGACCCUCUCUGUCUCUCUGUAGAUCGCCCAGCUAGAUGAGGUAUUGACCCUCUCUGUCUCUCUGUAGAUAGCCCAGCUAGAUGAGGUAUAGACCCUCUCUGUCUCUCUGUAGAUAGCCCAGCUAGAUGAGGUAUUGACCCUCUCUGUCUCUCUGUAGAUCGCCCAGCUAGAUGAGGUAUUGACCCUCUCUGUCUCUCUGUAGAUAGCCCAGCUAGAUGAGGUAUUGACCCUCUCUGUCUCUCUGUAGAUAGCCCAGCUAGAUGAGGUAUAGACCCUCUCUGUCUCUCUGUAGAUAGCCCAGCUAGAUGAGGUAUUGACCCUCUCUGUCUCUCUGUAGAUCGCCCAGCUAGAUGAGGUAUUGACCCUCUCUGUCUCUCUGUAGAUAGCCCAGCUAGAUGAGGUAUAGACCCUCUCUGUCUCUCUGUAGAUAGCCCAGCUAGAUGAGGUAUUGACCCUCUCUGUCUCUCUGUAGAUCGCCCAGCUAGAUGAGGUAUUGACCCUCUCUGUCUCUCUGUAGAUCGCCCAGCUAGAUGAGGUAUUGACCCUCUCUGUCUCUCUGUAGAUCGCCCAGCUAGAUGAGGUAUAGACCCUCUCUGUCUCUCUGUAGAUCGCCCAGCUAGAUGAGGUAUAGACCCUCUCUGUCUCUCUGUAGAUCGCCCAGCUAGAUGAGGUAUAGACCCUCUCUGUCUCUCUGUAGAUCGCCCAGCUAGAUGAGGUAUAGACCCUCUCUGUCUCUCUGUAGAUCGCCCAGCUAGAUGAGGUAUUGACCCUCUCUGUCUCUCUGUAGAUCGCCCAGCUAGAUGAGGUAUAGACCCUCUCUGUCUCUCUGUAGAUCGCCCAGCUA